rnacentral:lncRNA from 1 species
GUAAUAUACCGAACUUCUAAUUCAUGAAGUUAUGAUGUAUGUUAGCUUAGAAAGCCAUUGGAAUCAUUCCGGCGAAGUUCGGAAGCAUUCGGGUGCUUCGGUGCGCAUAGGGCGCGAAAACGGGACCCGAAAGGCUAUGUUGGACCAUGGACUAAAUCCGGCAUUAGCGUGGAUGAAAAGAUGAUGAAAACAUGUUUGAAAACAUGUUUGGAGAGUCUCGGUUCGAUUUGAAAAGAAACGGAGGUCAAACGAGCGAAAACGAGCGAAAACGGAGUGAAAAAGGAUAAAGGCUGAAAAUGCUGAAAAAUUGGCUAAGUCUGGAAUUCUGGCCUUUCGGGGACCGGUCUCUCACCGCAAGGACCGGUCUCAGAACCCCGAAAAUGCCCAGUUUGGGCUGAAGCAAGAAGAGGAUUGUUGAGGGACUUGUUGGCAUUUUGUGCAUGAGUUGAGUGUAUAGAGAGGAUUAGAACCUCUCUUUCUCUCUUUCCCUUAUCAUUUCACCCCCAAAACUCUCCCUCUCUCUCUCUAGAAAGGAAAGGAGAAGAGAAGAAGAAGAAGAGAAAGAAGAAGAAGAAAAGGAAAAGAAGGUGAAGCAAGUGGAGAGCUUCCCUCCAUCAUCUUCUUCUUCACCUUGGAGCAAGCUUCUUGAGGUAAGCUUCUUGGAGCUUUAAUGGUAGAUCUUUAGGGUUAAGUUCUUAUACUCUAAAGAUGAUUUUAAUGGAAUCUUAGCAUGCUAAAUAGAUGGUUUAUGCUUGAUUCAUGAGAUGAAAUGGGGCAUUUUGCAAUAGUUGCAUAUUAGGGCUCCAAAAGGGGGUUUUUGUAAAUAGUUGAGUUUGAUCUCAAUUGACCCUAUACAAACCUAAUUGGGGGUAUAACGAACGCGUUGGUGCGCUCGGUUCGACAAUCCGACGAGCGUACGCGAAGUUAUUGACGAAACAAUCUGUUUUGGUACAGAUAGCCGCAGCACGCGGGAUAAGCCUCCAAAAAUCAUGAAAAUGGAUCGGGAGCAUCGCGAUGUCGGGGAAUAAACUCCCGAACAGACGGAUCGCGGAUUGGUGGCCGUUCGGGUGGUCGCGCGAGAGUUCGAGCCGAACCGGGUCACGGGUGCCGCGGGAGGCCGAUUGCAAGUGACGACAAGCAAUCGGAAAGCGUUAAAAGGUGGGUUGUGCUUACCGAAGCGACUAGGUCGCCUUCAUGCCAAAGUGUAGUGUGUUUCACUAUUGAUGCAUGAUAAGAAUGUUAAGUAAGAAUGCAUAAUAAGAAUGUUAAGUAAGAAUGCACCAUAAUGAUGCUAAUAAAUGUAUACAAUGCCAUGAUAAAGAUGCUAAGGAAUGAAUGCAUGUGAUAGAUGUUAAGUAAUGCAUGUAAUAUGUGCCAAGUAAUGAUCAUAUAAGAUGUAUGUUGAGAAAUGCAUGUUGUCAUAAUAGGAAAUGCUAAAAGUAUGCAUAUUGACAUAAUGUAAGAACACUAAGCUAAUGCUUGUGACAUGUUAUAGAAAUGUUUGAUGAAGCAUGAGUAAAAUGUUAAAAGCAUGUUGAGAUGUAUGUUAAGUAAACAUAUGAGCUAAAUGUAUGAUCCAUAUUGUGAGAAUAUGUUAAAAUGACAUAAAGUAGAAUGCAUGCAUAAUGAUAAGAUAAGAAUGCUAAGUAAAGGAUGUGUGUAAGUUGACAUAAAUGCACCUAUAGAUCGAGUGGCAUUGGACCUAGUGUCAAGGACAUAGGUUAAACAAAAGUAAUAAUGAACCUAGUGUCGAUGAACAUAGGUUAUUCACGAGUGGCAUGUCAAGUAUAAUUCCUAGGUGUGGACAACUAGGAAAACAAGAACAUGAGUGGCAUUGAACCUAGAGUCAAAUAAACCUAGGUUGUAAAUGUAAUGAUAUAGAACCUAGAGUCAAAUGAACUUAGGUGAUAAAGAAUGUUGGACCUAGUGUCAAUGAACCUAGGCUAAGAAGAUAAUGACAUUGAACCUAAUGUAUUAACUUAGGUUGAGUAAAGGCUUGGACCUAGAUAGGUCGAUAACAUAGGGUGAGACCAACCCUUGAGUAAUGUAAAGUGGAUUCCGGAAUCCCUGCUGCUAGUGCAGCGGCUGCUAGUGCAGCAUACAAGCUCGAUAGUUCUUGGCCGCGGGUGCAUGUGGCGUGUUCCUCUCCCACCGGAAGAACUUCGAGGCUUGUCAAUGAGCAAGAACAAUGAGCGCUAGGGUGCAUGUGGCAUGUUCCUCUCCCUAUCGGGGAUCUCGGCUGCGGGUGUAUGCGGCAUGUUCCUCUCCCACCGGGGGAUCCCUGACCACGGGUGUACGCAGCUCUGGGCGACCCGUUGGGCGAUGUGGUUUGUGAUUGAGGGCUGAGGUGCAUGUGUGAGUUCCUUCACCUCGAGCCGGACAGAGCGCGGACUAUCCGCAGUUGAUUGACUCAAGACCGAGUCGGAUGGCAUAGUUGGCUAAGGGAAAGUAACCUUAGGAAAGAAAGACUAAUGUGUAUAAUAUUGCUAAGGCGUGAGUACCUUUAGUAAAGCAUAAAGAAUAAAGAAUAAAGUGUAAAGCAUAAAGAAUGAAGAAUCAAGAAUAAGAAAAGGCUAAUGCUAAAGAAUGACAAGUAAUAAAGAAUAAAGAAGAGUUAAUGCUAAAGAAUAGCUAGUAAAGUAAAGAAUGAGUAAAAGUAAAGAAUGGAUAAGAAUAAAGUGUAGAAGAAAUUAAUCUACUAUAUGAGUUGCAUAAAUUGCAUAUUGCAUGUUGUGAGGCAAAAGCAUGGUAAUGUUAGUUGCAUGAUUUAUGAUUUUAUAUCUAUCUAUUGGACUAACAUGUUGUUUGCCUCCUUUGACCUGAUGGUCGAGCUCUUCCCUUGGGUGGCCGUACCCACUGGGAACUAUGGAGUUAGUUCUCACCCCACGUUGUUUCGGGGUUUUACAGGUCCACACGCGAGCGGCGCGGCGGCGCGAGGAAAGGGCGUAGCUCCGUAGUUAGCGCCCUACCACUGAGACCAGAUAGCAGCACCCUGAGUCGGCUUCUUAGGGGUAUUAAAUGCAAAGAACCAAAAAUGUGAUAAUUGUAAGAACAAUAUUGUAAUAAGUAUGUUAAGAACUAGAUUGUAUAAUUGGAAGUUGAGGAUCAAUGUAAAAGAAUGUAAUGUGGAAUGUAAAAUGUAGUAUGUGAGAUGAAUGCUUGUAAUAGCAAGUAGAUUUAUGUUUUUGAUACUUCCUUAUGCAAUCUUUGGUUGAAAUGUGU